AAACCAAACAACUUUUUGCCUCAUAAGAAACCCAAGUUUGUCAAUCUGCUCUUAGCUCAGGAAUGCUGCCUAGAAAUCAGACAUUUUCUGUUGGGAAUGCCAACACCAAGGUACAAAAGGCUGCUGGGAGGGUGGGAGAGAGGUCCAGGGGAUGCAGUCUGAGCUCCUACAGCCUUAUUAGAAGUUGAGACGAAAAGGUUAGGGAAACAGUUUGGAAUAGGACCAUGAACCAAGAGACAUCAAGCAGAUACUCCAAAGUUAUCUUACACACACACACACACACAUCCUGCAAGCCUAUCAAUGUUUGCAAAGGUCGUUUGACUACUAAGCCUCUCAGGCCUGAUGGGUGAGGUUUGCAAACGUGAUUUAAAAUGUUAUUAUUAGGUUAUCAAAUGGCUUUAUUUGUGGGCUCCUUUGUUUGACGCAGAGUCUCACGCUGUAGCCCAAGCCGGGUUCUAACUCUCAAUUCUCCUGCCUCAGCCUCUCCAGUGCUACGAUCGUCCAGUGUGCCGGUUAGUUUCUGUCGGCUCGACACAAAUCAGAGACGCCUGGGAAGCGGGAACCUCAGCCGAGGAACUGCCUCCAUCAGAUCGGCCUGUGGGGUGUUUCCUUGACUGCUGACUUACAGAGGAGGGCCUAGCCCACUCUGAGGGCUGCCAGCCCUGUGCAGGCGCCUGAACAAAGCGGGGGGAAUAAGCAGCAAGCAGUUUUCCUCUGUCAUCUCUGCUUCAGUUGCGGCUUUGCAUCCCUGCCUGACUUCCGGUCCCCGCCUGACUUCCCGUCCCUGCCUGACUUCCCCUGAUGAUGGGCUGUAAGCCGGAGAGAAUGAUGCGGGCGAGGAAAAUAAGCGUUUUUUUUUUUUUUUUUUUUUUUUAAUAAGUAGCGGGCUGGGGAGACGACUCAGUCAACGAGGCGCUUGCUGCACAAGCAUCUGAGUCCAGAACUGGUUGUGGGGCACAGGUCUCAAUCUCAGAACCAGGAAAGUGGAAACAGACAGAUCUCUGGAGCUCACUGGACAGACGGCCUAGCCAAACGGAUGUGAUCUGAGUUCGCACGUGAUCGGUGGAAUGCAGUCCUGUGGAGGAAAUGUGCACCCUCACUUCCAAGGGCCAAACAAGAAGAGGGGGCGGUCAGCUGUGUGGGAACACGGUCCAAGAAGGGAGUCGCGUGAGGUGAGAAAACCUGCGUGCCGGUGAGAAAACUCUAGGAAGAAAAGACAAGAGGCUUGGGAACCUCACUUCCUUCAAAAACACAGAGUAAUUCUUGGAGUUGCUUCCAUGGUCUUCCCAGGUGGGGCGGAUAGGAGUGAGUUCUCUCUACAUCAUUCAUCACAACUGCCCUUGUUUUUUGUUUAUAUGCCUCUGUGGGAAAACGUGUUUGCCACAAGGACAGGAUGUGCAGCUUGUCCUUGUGAUUGUAUGCCUCCUUACUCAUUUUUCUUAACCCUCAGAGUAUAAAUUGUCUGAUGCUCUGAAUAAAGUUGGCUAUUGCAUG